UGGGGAAUAUUGCACAAUGGGGGAAACCCUGAUGCAGCGACGCCGCGUGAGCGAUGAAGGCUUUCGAGUCGUAAAGCUCUGUCCUAUGGGAAGAUAAUGACGGUACCAUAGAAGAAAGCCCCGGCUAAUUACGUGCCAGCAGCCGCGGUAAUACGUAAGGGGCGAGCGUUGUCCGGAAUUAUUGGGCGUAAAGAGUGCGUAGGCGGCAAAUUAAGUCAGAUGUGAAAACUAAGGGCUCAACCCAUAGAUUGCAUCUGAAACUGAUAUGCUUGAGUCAAGGAGAGGAAAGUGGAAUUCCUAGUGUAGCGGUGGAAUGCGUAGAUAUAUGGAGGAACACCGGUGGCGAAAGCGGCUCUCUGGUCUGUAACUGACGCUGAGGCUCGAAAGCGUGGGGAGCGAACAGG
rnacentral:rRNA from 1 species